GAGUUAGUCAGACUAAUGUGUUUUCAUUCUCUUUAAAUAGGUAUAUUUCUUGCAUGAAUUUUGUAGUUUAAGCAAGAGCCUUCAGGUGGUGCAGCAGUUGCGACUUUUUAGGGACCUUAUUACUGAAGGAAUUUUUCAAGUCAUAGAAGAAGCCUUGCGGAUUCCCGACAAAAAACUUGUGUUGACUGGGACAGAUAUCCUGAUUCUUUUCUUGAAUCAAGACCCCAACCUUUUACGUUCUUAUGUUGUUCGGACAGAAGGAAACCCCCUCCUCGGUCUCCUGGUCAAGGGAAUGAUGGAAGACUUUGGUGAUAGGAUGCAUUGCCAAUUUCUAGAAAUUAUCCGAACCUUACUGGAUGCAAAUGCAUUGUCUGGCGGAGCUCAGGUGCAUAUUUAUUUCCUUUCA